GACAAAGUUGGCCAAAGCCCCUCCAUCCUUUUCAGGCGAGUAUGAAACCAAAACUUCUCAAAUCUGGAAAUGUAAAUGUUGAUAAUCGAAUCCAGGAAUUUGUUGAAGAAGGGGAGCUCUCCUCCAUUGAUGAGCAUGAUCAUCCUCUACCUAAGUUGCAGAGUAAUAAUGGAAAAGUUUCAGCUGCAAAGCGAAGGCCAGAUGAGGUGUGGUCAGAUCUUUCUGACAGGGAUCAUAAAAGGGUGAGAGGAAAAGUUGACUGAUAUGAUUAUGUUAAAGCUUAAAGUUGGAAAAAAAAAAUAUAUAGUCAACUAUGGAAGUGAUUCCUACAGAUAAUGCAUCCCUGGUGAUUGGACUUCAUUUUCUUAUCAGAUCAAAUGGUUUGAAUUAGAAAGAGUUUUCUGCAGUGAUUGGCCUUCUCUUGAUUUUAACGCUCAAUUCCUUUUCAUGGCUUGAGUGUAGUAUGGCUUCAAUGGCUGUUUGGAAGCAAAAGACAUUUUUCAAUGUUCGCUCAUUCUUGCAGGUUUAUGCAUUGAGACUUGUAUAUUAUGAACAGAUAAUUGUAUUUUUUAUGUUUUGAAUGUAUUAGCAUUUCAUUUUUGUUUCCAGA